GACGAACGCUGGCGGCGUGCCUAAUACAUGCAAGUUGAGCGCUGAAGGUUGGUACUUGUACCGACUGGAUGAGCAGCGAACGGGUGAGUAACGCGUGGGGAAUCUGCCUUUGAGCGGGGGACAACAUUUGGAAACGAAUGCUAAUACCGCAUAAAAACUUUAAACACAAGUUUUAAGUUUGAAAGAUGCAAUUGCAUCACUCAAAGAUGAUCCCGCGUUGUAUUAGCUAGUUGGUGAGGUAAAGGCUCACCAAGGCGAUGAUACAUAGCCGACCUGAGAGGGUGAUCGGCCACAUUGGGACUGAGACACGGCCCAAACUCCUACGGGAGGCAGCAGUAGGGAAUCUUCGGCAAUGGACGAAAGUCUGACCGAGCAACGCCGCGUGAGUGAAGAAGGUUUUCGGAUCGUAAAACUCUGUUGGUAGAGAAGAACGUUGGUGAGAGUGGAAAGCUCAUCAAGUGACGGUAACUACCCGGAAAGGACGGCUAACUC
rnacentral:rRNA from 1 species